CACACACGUCCCAGUGUGCCCGCGUGUCGGAGUCUGUGCACGCGCACAUGUGUGUCGGGCUCUGUUGUGCCUGCACAUGCGUGUCGGGCUCCAUGCACACAUGCGUGUCGGCGUCUGUGCGUGCGCACACGCCUGUCAGGGUCUGUGUGCCCACACAGGCACCUCAACGGCUGAACACACUAUGUAUGGGGGGGGUCUGUCGUCGCUCACAUACGUGUAGGGGUCUGUGCGCACAUGCGCGUCCGGCUCUGCUGCCGCUUGCGCGCUCCGGCAGCUCAAAGCGCGAGGCCCCGCCUGGGUCCGGGGUGCGCAUGCGCGCUGGCCUCCCUGGGCGGUGGGACCCAGCGUAUGACGUACUUGCGUGGGAGUACGAGGCUGACGCGCGGCCUUGUCCCCGUAACUGUGACACAGGUGCACGCGAGCGUCAUUGGGGGCGAUGGGGGGCGUGCUGGGUGCGUGUUUGCACCAGUGACGCAGCCGCUGCAUCGCCGCCAGUCCGCACAGGCCAGCAUCCUUCAGGAAAAGCAUCCCCGAGGAGGAAGACGAAUCGUUAAACAUCUUAAAGGGUCAGGCCAGCAUCCUUCAGGAAAAGCACCCCCGAGGAGGAAGAGCAAUCGUUAAACAUCUUAAAGGGUCAGGUGAGUAUCCCUUUUUUUUUUUUUAAAUUAAAUGAUAUGUGUUUGUAAGACUUAAGACCAAACAUUAAAUGUAGAUGACCAAGAUUUGAGUCCUGUUUCUGCCUGUUAGCUUUUUGAGCCUUCUGAAGAUAGGCUUGUGAGGAGGGUGAAAUGCAUUAACAUGUGUAAAACCAUAGACCCGCACCCCGGAGUGUGAGUGCGCAGUGAGUGCUGCUGUUAUGUGCUGAGUCUGGAUGUCGGUACAUCAGGAGCAAUGUAUAUAUGAAGGUAACUGAGAUGGGUGUUUGCAAGUUCACAAAAUGAACCACAGCCUCAAAUGGUCUAGAACUGUUAUCCUUAACCUGAGGGCCUUCCAUAAAGUGAACCAAUUUUGUAAAAUACAAAAAUUAGCUGGAUCUGGUGGUGCAUGCCUGUAAUCCCAGCUCCUCAGGAGGCUGAGGCAGGAGAAUCACUUCAACCUGGGAGGCUGUGAACCUGUGAUGAGCUGAGAUCACGCCACCACACUCCAGCCUGGGUGACAGAGCAAGACAUUGUCUCCAAAAAAAGCUUUGUGACUAAAUGUGUGGGGAGAAGCAAGCUGUUGUAGUGGACAUCAGUUGGUGUCCUGCAGUUCAAUUCUGACACCGUCUACCUGGAUAUGGCAUCAGAUUCCACAGGUUGUGAGCAAGACUGUCCCACUCUGCCCCACUAGCCACAAGACCAGGCCUCUGGGACAUCUUGCUAACCCUCCGCAGGUUGGGGUUCUUUUUUUUUUUUUUUUUUUUUUUGUUGUUGUUGUUGUUGUUGUUGAGACGGAGUCUCGCUCUGUCGCCCAGGCUGGAGUGCAGUGGCCGGAUCUCAGCUCACUGCAAGCUCCGCCUCCCGGGUUCACGCCAUUCUCCUGCCUCAGCCUCCCAAGUAGCUGGGACUACAGGCGCCCGCCACCUCGCCCGG
ensembl:lncRNA